rnacentral:rRNA from 1 species
AUUGAACGCUGGCGGCAUGCUUUACACAUGCAAGUCGAACGGCAGCGCGGGCUUCGGCCUGGCGGCGAGUGGCGAACGGGUGAGUAAUGCAUCGGAACUUGCCCAGUAGUGGGGGAUAGCCCGGCGAAAGCCGGAUUAAUACCGCAUACGACCUGAGGGUGAAAGCGGGGGACCGAAAGGCCUCGCGCUAUUGGAGCGGCCGAUGUCGGAUUAGCUAGUUGGUGGGGUAAAGGCUUACCAAGGCGACGAUCCGUAGCUGGUCUGAGAGGACGACCAGCCACACUGGGAUUGAGAGACGGCCCAGACUCCUACGGGAGGCAGCAGUGGGGAAUUUUGGACAAUGGGGGCAACCCGGAUCCAGCCAUGCCGCGUGCGGGAAGAAGGCCUUCGGGUUGUAAACCGCUUUUGUUCGGGAAGAAAUCCUCUGGGCUAAUACCCCGGGGGGAUGACGGUACCGGAAGAAUAAGCACCGGCUAACUACGU